ACAACGGAGAGUUUGAUCCUGGCUCAGGAUGAACGCUGGCGGCGUGCUUAACACAUGCAAGUCGAACGAACCUUCGGGUUAGUGGCGGACGGGUGAGUAACGCGUGAGAAUCUGCCCUCAGGAGGGGGAUAACGGUUGGAAACGACCGCUAAUACCCCAUAUGCCUACUGGUGAAAUGAUGAAUUUCGCCUGAGGAUGAGCUCGCGUCUGAUUAGCUAGUUGGUGAGGUAAUGGCUCACCAAGGCUUCGAUCAGUAGCUGGUCUGAGAGGAUGAUCAGCCACACUGGGACUGAGACACGGCCCAGACUCCUACGGGAGGCAGCAGUGGGGAAUUUUCCGCAAUGGGCGAAAGCCUGACGGAGCAACGCCGCGUGAGGGACGAAGGCCUCUGGGCUGUAAACCUCUUUUCUCAAGGAAGAAGAUAUGACGGUACUUGAGGAAUAAGCCACGGCUAAUUCCGUGCCAGCAGCCGCGGUAAUACGGGAGUGGCAAGCGUUAUCCGGAAUUAUUGGGCGUAAAGCGUCCGCAGGCGGCUUUUCAAGUCUGCUGUUAAAGCGUGGAGCUUAACUCCAUCAUGGCAGUGGAAACUGAAAGGCUUGAGUAUGGUAGGGGCAGAGGGAAUUCCCGGUGUAGCGGUGAAAUGCGUAGAUAUCGGGAAGAACACCAGUGGCGAAGGCGCUCUGCUGGGCCAUUACUGACGCUCAUGGACGAAAGCCAGGGGAGCGAAAGGGAUUAGAUACCCCUGUAGUCCUGGCCGUAAACGAUGAACACUAGGUGUCGGGGGAAUCGACCCCUUCGGUGUCGUAGCUAACGCGUUAAGUGUUCCGCCUGGGGAGUACGCACGCAAGUGUGAAACUCAAAGGAAUUGACGGGGGCCCGCACAAGCGGUGGAGUAUGUGGUUUAAUUCGAUGCAACGCGAAGAACCUUACCAGGGUUUGACAUCCUGCGAACCUCUUAGAAAUUUGAGGGUGCCUUCGGGAAUGCAGUGACAGGUGGUGCAUGGCUGUCGUCAGCUCGUGUCGUGAGAUGUUGGGUUAAGUCCCGCAACGAGCGCAACCCACGUUUUUAGUUGCCAGCAUUUAGUUGGGCACUCUAGAAAGACCGCCGGUGAUAAACCGGAGGAAGGUGUGGAUGACGUCAAGUCAUCAUGCCCCUUACACCCUGGGCUACACACGUACUACAAUGCUACGGACAAAGGGCAGCAAACUCGCGAGAGCUAGCAAAUCCCAUAAACCGUGGCUCAGUUCAGAUCGUAGGCUGCAACUCGCCUACGUGAAGUAGGAAUCGCUAGUAAUCGCAGGUCAGCAUACUGCGGUGAAUACGUUCCCGGGCCUUGUACACACCGCCCGUCACACCAUGGAAGUUGGCCAUGCCCGAAGUCGUUACUCCAACCCUUGUGGAGGAGGACGCCGAAGGUGGGGCUAAUGACUGGGGUGAAGUCGUAACAAGGUAGCCGUACCGGAAGGUGCGGCUGGAUCACCUCCUAA
rnacentral:rRNA from 1 species